CGUUAAAAAUAUUUUUCAAUCCAGACGUUCGUUUGAUCACAUUUCUGAGCUCGGCACUGUAUAAUUCAAACUGAAUUUGGAAUGAAAUUUUGUUUCUGUUUAAAAUUCACCUAUCUAACGUUUUUCGCUGCUAUUGCUUUUGAUUGUAAUUCUCUUUUCCAAAUCACUAAUGCGUUACAAAUUUACGUCACAAACUGUUAGGUUCAAAGCAAUCCGAAGAACUUCGCAAUAAAACCAGCUGUGUCAAAACUAUCUAAUUCUAUUUAACCGAUAACAGGCUAAAUCCGAGUGAAUCAAAGGACACUGUAAUUUCGGAGGUUUCCGAAUCCGGCCCU